rnacentral:rRNA from 1 species
UACAGAGGUCCCAAGCGUUGUUCGGAUUCAUUGGGCGUAAAGGGUGCGUAGGCGGCGCGGUAAGUCGGGUGUGAAAUCUCGGAGCUUAACUCCGAAACUGCAUUCGAUACUGCCGUGCUUGAGGACUGGAGAGGAGACUGGAAUUUACGGUGUAGCGGUGAAAUGCGUAGAUAUCGUAAGGAAGACCAGUGGCGAAGGCGGGUCUCUGGGCCGAUACUGACGCUGAGGAGCGAAGGCGUGGGGAGCGAACAGG